UCCCAGCUUUGAUUCACCCAUUCAACUUCCGUCUUUCUACAUAAUUCACACAAAUGAAAGAGUGAGAAAAUUCACCAAGUCAUUCUGAGAGGGAGAAAAAAAAAAAACACCAAAGCUUCGGUACAUGCACAAAAACAGCAAUUUGACUGCACAAAUAAAUGGCAAAUUUGUCUGUCUGUGUUGGAAUUCAAUGCAGUGGAAGAAAGGCCUUCACAGAAGAUGAGGCUCCAACAUCAUCAAAAGCGGCUGGUACAGAAAGCGCCAUUCAAAUCCCCGGGACGGCACUCGCCGCUAAUUAGUUCUGUGAGGUCUUUUGACAUCCAGUUCAAGGAAUCUCUGCGAAAAAAUUCCAAUUUAUGAAACACACUCGCAGGCAACCUAAGGCGGCUAUUCAGAUUUCCACCAAGGAGAACGUGAUGUUGUCCACCUCCUCUCCGGUGGCAAUUUUCAUUUCUCAUCCGUACGGCAGCGCAGCCCACGGGAGCCGAGGGAAGAGACCGCUCUGCGCUGAAAGGCAGGGCCGUGGCCAGAGACUUCAGGUCGGCAAUGGACUGCGGAGUAGCUGGGAGGCUGCACCCGUGAUCUUCAGAGAGCAGAUCCUGGACUAGGGAGGACACCGAGUUGACAAGUCAGUCAUGGAUUCUGAAACACAGGGCUGCAAACCCAGGUUUUUCUAGAAGACUUGAGUCAGUGGGUAACUCUGCCUGUGGUGUUUGAAUACGCCUGGCACUUGAGACAUAAGAGGUGGGACCUGGGUCCAGACUCAAAGCUGGUUUCCAGACUGCUCCCGGAAGAUCAUUAUUUUUCAUUGGAAUCGACAGGAAGGGGGAACAAAGCUGCAAUCAAUAAAAGCUUCUUUGGAAACGGCAUGCGUUCCCAUGAUCCAUCGUGCAAUGAUCUAUGCAGCAGGGGGCUUUUCCGUUAUGUCUGCGGAGGCCAGGAGAAAUACACUUCAGGAGGCUGGGCAUCUAGAGCCUCUCAGGUGGUGAUGGGGAAGGAAAAACAUUCUCAAGAGGGUCCAGUCAUUGAAGAAACUCGGAGGUGAUCGUUCUUAAAGUGGGGUCCCCCACUACAGCAGCAUGGCCUGGGGACCCUGCAGAUGUAGAUCCUCAGGUCCCACCCCCAACACCUGUCAAACCCAAAACCUGGGUAGGGGGUAAUCUGGGUUGGAAGGACUCAGGCAAUCCUGCUGCAAGUGGCAGUUGGGUGCCACUGUUUUCUGCCUCACAAACCCAGAGGCUUGGAUGGGACAUGGACUACAGCUCUCUGCUCAGAAAUUGGUCCAACCUGGACAUUAACUCCUACCUUGCUUCGCAGACAGGACCCCAGUCAGAGCGCUACUGCUGGACUUGCCUUGGCUCUUGGAGUUUUUCCGUCUCUCGAGAGCAUUCUGCAACAGCAAUAGAAAAACCAAAAACCUUGUCAGGAAAGACAGCGAUGGAAAAAUACUUUGUUAAGGAGAUAUACCCCGUGUACUCACAAGAUCACUGGCAGACUCCAAAUGUAGCCUAAAACAUAGAACUCUCAAUCCUUGGGAUUUUAAAAGACUCCAUAUAGAGAGCCUGAUUGGUUUUUAAGUUACUGCAAAGGAGAAAGGCAGUAACUGUAGUCUCUUAUCUAACAUGUAGAGAGUUUGUUAUGGAAAUCACUUUAGAACAGACAUGAGAUGAAGACUACAUUUGCUUUCAUGUACCAAUGGUGGUAUUUGGAAAGAUAUGAUGUUUGGAUUGUAAAAGGAUCAUGGUCAGUUAGUGAUGUCUGCCUUGGACACAGGAUUAAGUACACAUGUUGCUAUGGUCAUUCUUAGAAUGGACUCUUGUCUUCACACUGAUGUAUAGUAGUCAGCCAUUGUUUCGAAUAUGAACACGAUACAUGACACAGGAAAGGAUGCAUAUGGUUAUAAAUGCAUAUACUAAAAAGCACAUACUUCCUUCUUCAUGUUUAUAUACAGAUUGAUGUAAACGAGAGUGUGGCUUCCACCAAAUGGAAAGCCAUGGUUACCUCUGAGGACAAAGCCAAUGUCAACAACCAGGACAAUGAGCCAGCUCUCCCUAGAAUUCUGUUGGCUAUAAAACUUCCGCAGCGGGAAGAACCAUCAAUCUAUUUUCAAAGCAGAGAGUCCCAGGAGAGUUUUCCAAUUAUAACACUUACAACUAACACUGCAGAAAUAGAUAUUAUCCAACCAAUGGAGUUGGAAUUGGACUAAACAACAGUGAGGCAAAUUCAAACACUCUCCCCUCUCUGUGUGCCUCAAACUUUAGCAUUUGGGUUGUGAUGCUCCAUCCUUGCUUCUUCUCCCACAGAAGCUAUUUUCUUGGGGAUAAUUAUGAGAUAAACAGCAUCUGACAACUAGACAUUUCAUAGAGGAAGCGGAGAGGACCCCUGAGGUCAAAAGGCUGAGGCUCCAAGGUGGAAGCACAUAGGAGUUCCCAGGAUGCCCUGUCCAGACUAUAGACAUAGAAACAGAUACGGGGGUGGGGUGGGGGACAUGGCGUUGGGAGUUGACCUUUUUGUGGUUGGUUUCACUGGCUAUUCCAAUUAGGGGUCUUACUGGACUCCAUUUGGGAGGACAGGAAAGGGAUGGGAUGUCUUUAAAACAUAAGAGGGAAUGAAAACAGGCUGACAGGCAGAUGCUGAGUGGAGAAUCACAGGCUUGGUCUUGAUUGUGUUACCUUGUAUUUGGCAAUGUUUGACUUCAGAAGGCUGACCUCCUCAUGGAGUUGUUUCAAUCUCUCUUGGAGAUAUCUAGAAGAAAAAAAAAUUCACAUAACCAGGAUGGGCAUGGGGGAGGAAUGAAGCCCACUGAAUGAUAAGAGCAAAACAUGAAGCCCAGGUGUCAUUUGUAUGUAACGACUUCUUUCUCAUCCUGGAGGGCAGGGGCAGGGAAAUGUGACCUUUUAUGAAACGGAUUCGAUCAAGGUCAGACAUGCCCGAAGCACAGACACCCCAUUUUAAAAACAGCCCUCUCGGAGAUCCCCUAAGGGACAACAACAUCCUUUUCAUAUAAUUCUCAUUAAGUGAUUCCACCAGGGAGCAAACCAGGAAGAGAAGACGCCAGCCAUAACACGAGUCAGACACAUCCACACGCUGAAAUGUGCCUGGGGGGGAAGACACAGCUAAGGGAAUUUCUCCAUUUAUUUUCUUAUUCUUUCUCCUCUCCUUGACAGCAAUCACAAACAACUCUUCCUGGUUCUUCACCCUCGUGGCCCAAACAGAGGUGUGGGAGCGAGGGAGGCUGGAUAAGUGGGCGUCUCUCCCUUCUCUUCUUACUUUUGUAACCAGUCCAUGCCACUGCCAAUAUUUGGGAUCUGUGACUUGCUCUUUAUUCCCAUCGCAGCUGUCUCAAGUGCAGGCAGGGCUGCAGGAACCCCCAGACUGCCUCCCUCAGCUGCACUCACCUGUUCUCCAUGCACAGAGCAUCCACAUCAAUGAUACGGUUCUCGUGACCACCCAGGAUGUGGUUGAGCUCCUGGUUCAGCCUGUCCACUUUGUCCUGGUAGGAAGCCCGUUCUUCCUUAACAUCCUGGAGUUCAUCCACCGAGGCCUGCAGGUCAUGUUCUAAGGACUCGAUCUGAAAUCCAAGGAGUGUCACAGUGGUCCUCAAACGUGGGCUUUUGGGUCAGGGGUUAGCUUCCACUAGACUGGCUGACUUGGAGAGCUUAUGGAUACUGAUCAUGUGUUAGUUAUCCACACUGCACUGCAGGCUGGGUAAGGGCUGGAGCUAUGGAACACUUUCCCCCCAGACACUUAGCAUGGGUGGGACAGAUGAGCCUGAUCUCCAACCCCUGCACAUUGCUCCCAUUCACAGGCAUGGAAAGAGCAGGCUGAUUCUAGAGUCUUACAGAUGCUUGCUGUUCCAAGCCAAUAAAACCUGGGCAUCCUGUGCUCAGUUAGCUCGAGAAGAGAAAAGGGAGUCCUUGCUCCUGUAGCUGCUUCCCAAGCACAGCUCUGUGCCUUCUGAAAUCUCUCCCACAAAGCAUCACUUAGCAUCUUAGUGGGAACUCGUAAGUUAAAGGGCAGUUUCUCACUUUUCCUGCCCACUGCCUAUGUGGGUGGCUGGCGGCAAGUCUCUUGGUGUGCUCAGAACAAUGGACAAUCAGUGCUGGAUACCCCCGGCUAGGGGUCACACACUCAGCAUGAACCUAGCAAGAGCCGAGGAAGUCUAGCCCUCUCGGCAUCCCCUGGCCUCCUCUUGUUCAUGGACACACAAGCAUAUGUUCCCUGCUUCCUGUUAGGAGGGGCCGUGGGAGCAUGUGUGUCCUACUUCCUGUGAGGAGGGGCCAUGGGAGCAUGUGUGUCCUGAUUCCUCUUGUGAGGCCACCCACAACAGAGCUCAGCAGUCACCUGUUCCUUAGCUCGCUCCAGCUGCUCCACCAAAUCCUCUCGCUCAUGGGCUGCGAAAUGCCUCCUGCCAAUUUCUUCAUCUCCGAGCCUUUGCUUGGCAAUUGUCAUCCUCAACAGCUGCAUUUCCCAUUAUCAGAACAGAAAGGCAAAGGAAGAGAGAAAGAAUAUGAAUGAGUACAUCUCCCCAAACCUCAAGGACCUAUAUAGAAAUGUCUGGAAGAAUAAAACUCUUGCAGGAACUACUGGAAGAAAGUAAAGGACAAACGACUUGCCAAUAUUAUGAAGUUUUAAGAAAGAGAAAAUUUCUGUAACAAUUUGUGCUUGUUAAUACACAUGCGCAGACAUCCAGGGUAACACUGGGGUACCCAGGCUCGACCCUGGAAGGUGGAUGUGCUAUGGGGCACUGCCACAGUGAGGAAAAACAUCUUGAGCCUCAUUUAGACUUAGCGAAGAUCCAGAAUUACCCCCUACGGCUGGUUAGGAUCUGCUGAGAUGGACACACCCCACAUUGAACCCCUAGGCCAUGCUAUCAAGAACUUUAAAAAUGCUAUUCAAUGUCUAGUAAAUGCUUCUGUCAAUGUGGUCUGUGAAUGAUCCCAGGUGUGGACUAGCUUAUCGAGAAGACAAGUAGAGUGCACUGAAGAACACAAGUCUUGCCUGCACUAUGACCAAGUAUAUGCUAAGAACUUAUGUGUGAGAGAAUGCAUAAAGAGACCAAAUACAUCAAGUACUCAGAUAGGUGUGUUUGGGGAUAUGGAUACUGUGCAUACUGUCUUCCUAGCUCCCACCUCCCAGGUAAGGCCACAGCAGGAAUUAUGGGAGAGGUCCCAGGAUGAACCCAUAGUCUCAGAACAUCUAUGCCUGCCCAUCACAACGUUCUUAUCCUAAAAAGGUUCACCAUGCACUGACUUCUCCCUAUGGAUGUAUGUGGAUACAUACCCAUGAAGCCCCAGGAACACAUUGCUCCUAUCAUGUGGGUAUGACAGCCCAGCAUAGCUCACUGUGAGCAUGCUCUUUCUUGCUUCUGCUUGAGCCUUAGAAUGGUGACCAGUACAAGGGCCUAAACUUCAGCAUUUCUGAAGGAUUUGGGUCAGGUGAUCGACAGAAAGUUAAUUUAAGCCAAGGCAGAAUUACCUAAUUCAAGUUAUAACAGCAAUGAACUUGAAAAGAAAUGAAUACUGUAGAAAUGCAGACAGGAUGCAAUGACCCUUCACCGCUCCAUUGAAUCUCACAAUGUCUGUUGUGUGCCACGGGCCACAGCCUGGCAGAGGAUAGAGGAUACUCACACACAGAACUGCAUUCUUAAUGGAAUCUGCUAAGUCUAUCCUUGGAGUUCACAGCUCAUGGAUUUGUGGGUUUCCCUACUCCAUGCAACUUACUUGUUUUCACCCCCAAAUCCAUGUUCAAAGUCUUCCAGUGUCAUUCACAGAGUGAGAAAAAUGUGAAGGCCAGACGUUCAGCCCACCUUCUGCCUCCCUGCCUCACACUAUGGAUGGCCUGUCUGUGGCCUGCUUGGUGCUGAGUGCCCACAUUUUUAUUUUUCUUUGAUGACUUUGGUGGUUUUAUAAAAGUCACAUACUUGUGGGACUCAGUGUGUUGCCUACAGGCAUGUAUAUACUGUAUGAUGGUCAUGGCAGGGUAGUUAAUACAGACUUCACUUUCCACGUUUAUCAUUUAUCAUGGAACUCUUUGGAAGCUAACUGUUCUGCAAUACACAGUGCACGGUGCCAAUUGACCAUAGUCACCUACUGCGCAAUAAAGUGUGGCACUUAAUCCUUCCAAAGUGUGGCUGUGUCAGGAUGCUGACACCUGUGCUCUCCCAUGCCACCUCACUCUCAGAGAAACACUGUUCUCUAUGCUACUCGGUCCUGUUCGCUUUUCUGUUUCUGUGAUAAACCACUCUGGCCAAAAGCGACUUGGGGAGGGAAGGGUUGGGCUUGGUUUACACUUCCAGGCCACAGCCCAUCCCUGAGGGAAACUGGGUCAGAAACUCAAGCAAGAACUGCAGGAAGCAAAACCGGAGCUACUGACUGCCUUGCUCCUGGCUCAUGCUGAGCUAGCUGUCUCAGGUAACCCAGAUGCAACUGCCCAGGGAUGGUGCUCUCUCCCAGCCCCACCCCAGUGGGCUGAGCCCUCCCACAUCAAUCAAGAUAACCUCUCACAGACAUGGCCACCGGCCAAUCUGAUGGAGGCAAUUCUUCAGGUAAGGGGCUCUCUUUCCAGGUGAUUAAAGGUUGUGUUAAGUUGACAAUAAAAACUAGCUAGUGCACCAUCUCUGUGAAAAACCCUUUUAAGAGUCUGGAUAUGAAUGUGAUCAUGUGGUAAUUGUCUUUCUGUGCUUUCUUUAUCCUUCCUUCCUUCCUUCCUUCCUUCCUUCCUUCCUUCCUUCCUUCCUUCCUUCCUUCCUUUCUUUCUUUCUUUUGCUAGCACGAUGUCUUCUGGAUUUCAUCCAUUAUGAAGACAGAAUGGUAUCCCACUGGGUACAUGUACCAUAUCUUCUUUAUCCAGUCCAUUGAUAGACACUUAGGUUGACAUCAUGCUGUAGUUAGCCCGAGUAGCACAUCAAGGAACGUGGGCAUGCAGGCAUCUUUUCAAUACACUGAUUUUAUUCCUUUGAAUCCAUACCCGGCAGUGCAACUGCUAUAGUUUGCUGUACAUAUAUAACAUUUUAUUUAUUUAUAAUUUGAAGUGCUACAGAAUUUCCUCCCAUGGCUCUACUAAUCUACACUCCCAUUGGCAGUGUGGAAAAGGUCUCCUGACAACGGAUUCAUGCAUACUGCCUGGAUGCUGUCUAGUGUCUCUGAGUACAAGAAGGAAGGUUGUGAUGUGCCUCAUCGGGAAAAUUUGUGAAUUAAGGCAGCUCCCUCUGAGUCUAAGUUAAAGAAUGGCCCCAGCUACCUUUGAACAGGACCUUCAGUUUCAAGAAGUCUAGUACCACUGUGGAAGGAGCAAUCUUAUCAAGGCCUGGAGUGAACAUCUUUCAAAAUGGUGCUUUCUGAUAACCAACAACUCCCCACAGAAGAGAAAACUAUCUUCAUUUGUCAAGGAAUUUGAUAACAUCUCGAAAACGUCUCCCCAAGAUAGCACCCCUGAACACACAGAGACACAAUACAGCAUUUCCGACUCGAAAUCCAGCGCCCUCUCUGUUGGAAACACCGCCUCUGGCGAAGGGCUGAAAAUGAAUCUGUCCAUGCCGGGCAAAACGGAAAAUUAUUUGGGGGAACAGAAUUUAACUUCGAUAGUUUUUCUUCUCUUUUUCAAUUGUACUUUUGUUCGUAGCUUCAGCUGGGAGUGAGCGAGUGCACACAUUUAGUUUGGAGUUUAUGAGUUCAUAUUUUAUAAUUAACGUUGCCAACAGGGGAGUUUGAUUAAUGCCGAGCAGUGGAUUUUGAGCAAUGUUCCAUACAAAUUGCCAAAUUUAGCAAUAAAGUAAAUUGGUGAUGUGAA